GGACUACCCGGGUUUCUAAUCCUGUUUGCUCCCCUAGCUUUCGCGCCUCAGCGUCAGCUCUGGCCCAGAAAACCGUCUUCACCACCGGUGUUCUUCCACAUAUCUACGCAUUUCACCGCUACACGUGGAAUUCCGUUUUCCCUAACCAGGCUCUACCACAGCAGUUUCGAAUGCAGCUCCGCGGUUGAGCCGCGGAAUUUCACAUCCGACUUACUAUGGCGCCUACGCGCCCUUUACGCCCAGUAAUUCCGAUCAAUGCUUGCACCCUCCGUAUUACCGCGGCUGCUGGCAC
rnacentral:rRNA from 1 species